AAAUUGAAGAGUUUGAUCAUGGCUCAGAUUGAACGCUGGCGGCAGGCCUAACACAUGCAAGUCGAACGGUAACAGGAAACAGCUUGCUGUUUCGCUGACGAGUGGCGGACGGGUGAGUAAUGUCUGGGAAACUGCCUGAUGGAGGGGGAUAACUACUGGAAACGGUAGCUAAUACCGCAUAACGUCGCAAGACCAAAGAGGGGGACCUUCGGGCCUCUUGCCAUCGGAUGUGCCCAGAUGGGAUUAGCUGGUAGGUGGGGUAACGGCUCACCUAGGCGACGAUCCCUAGCUGGUCUGAGAGGAUGACCAGCCACACUGGAACUGAGACACGGUCCAGACUCCUACGGGAGGCAGCAGUGGGGAAUAUUGCACAAUGGGCGCAAGCCUGAUGCAGCCAUGCCGCGUGUAUGAAGAAGGCCUUCGGGUUGUAAAGUACUUUCAGCGGGGAGGAAGG
rnacentral:rRNA from 1 species